rnacentral:rRNA from 1 species
CCUACGGGGUGCAGCAGUGAGGAAUAUUGGUCAAUGGGCGCGAGCCUGAACCAGCCAAGCCGCGUGAAGGAUGACUGCCCUAUGGGUUGUAAACUUCUUUUAUAUGGGAAUAAAAUGUUCCACGUGUGGGAUUUUGUAUGUACCAUAUGAAUAAGGAUCGGCUAACUCCGUGCCAGCAGCCGCGGUAAUACGGAGGAUCCGAGCGUUAUCCGGAUUUAUUGGGUUUAAAGGGAGCGUAGGUGGAUUGUUAAGUCAGAUGUGAAAGUUUGGAGCUCAACCGGAGAAUUGCAGUUGAUACUGGCAGUCUAGAGUACAGUAGAGGUGGGCGGAAUUCGUGGUGUAGCGGUGAAAUGCUUAGAUAUCACGCAGAACACCGAUUGCGAAGGCAGCAUGCCGGCUUACAACUGACGCUGAGGCACGAAAGCGUGGGGAUCGAACAGGAUUAGAUACCCCAGUAGUC